GCCAACGACCAUACCACGUUGAAUACACCAAUUCUCGUUUGAUCACUGAAAUUUAGCAAUGUCGGAUGUACCUACCUAGUUGAUACUUGGAUGGGUCACCGCUUAGGAACCUACGUUUUUUUUU
rnacentral:rRNA from 1 species